rnacentral:rRNA from 1 species
CCUACGGGAGGCAGCAGUGGGGAAUAUUGCGCAAUGGGCGAAAGCCUGACGCAGCGACGCCGCGUGAGGGAUGAAGGUCUUCGGAUCGUAAACCUCUGUCAGCAGGGAAGAACGGUCACUGUGCUAAUCAGCAGUGAAUUGACGGUACCUGCAAAGGAAGCACCGGCUAACUCCGUGCCAGCAGCCGCGGUAAUACGGGGGGUGCGAGCGGUAAUCGGAAUUACUGGGUGCAAAGCGCUCGUAGGCGGUAUGUCAAGUGAAGGGUGAAAUCCCGGCGCUCAACGUGGGAACUGCCGUUGAAACGGGGGAGCUAGAGUUCGUGGAAGGCAGGCGGAAUGCGAGGUGAAGAGGUGAAAU